rnacentral:rRNA from 1 species
AGUGAACGCUGGCGGUAGGCCUAACACAUGCGAGUCGAACGGCAGCACAGUAAGAGCUUGCUCUUACGGGUGGCGAGUGGCGGACGGGUGAGGAAUACAUCGGAAUCUACUUUUUCGUGGGGGAUAACGUAGGGAAACUUACGCUAAUACCGCAUACGACCUACGGGUGAAAGCAGGGGAUCUUCGGACCUUGCGCGAUUGAAUGAGCCGAUGUCGGAUUAGCUAGUUGGCGGGGUAAAGGCCCACCAAGGCGACGAUCCGUAGCUGGUCUGAGAGGAUGAUCAGCCACACUAGAACUGAGACACGGUCCAGGCUCCUACGGGAGGCAGCAGUGGGGCAUAUUGGACAAUGGGCGCAAGCCUGAUCCAGCCAUACCGCGUGGGUGAAGAAGGCCUUCGGGUUGUAAAGCCCUUUUGUUGGGAAAGAAAAGCAGCAGGUUAAUACCCCGCUGUUCUGACGGUACCCAAAGAAUAAGCACCGGCUAACUUCGUG